GGUCUUAGCUUGCUAAGACUGAUGGCGACCGGCGCACGGGUGCGUAACGCGUAUGCAACUUGCCUCACAGAGGGGGAUAACCCGUCGAAAGACGGACUAAUGCCGCGUACACUUGGGAUAGGGCAUCCUGACCCAAGGAAAUGAAAUUCGCUGUGAGAUAGGCAUGCGUCCCAUUAGCUAGUUGGUGAGGUAACGGCUCACCAAGGCGACGAUGGGUAGGGGAACUGAGAGGUUGAACCCCCACACUGGUACUGAGACACGGACCAGACUCCUACGGGAGGCAGCAGUGAGGAAUAUUGGUCAAUGGGCGAGAGCCUGAACCAGCCAAGUCGCGUGAAGGAUGACUGUCUUAUGGAUUGUAAACUUCUUUUAUACGGGAAUAACAAGAGUCACGUGUGACUCCCUGCAUGUACCGUAUGAAUAAGCAUCGGCUAACUCCGUGCCAGCAGCCGCGGUAAUACGGAGGAUGCGAGCGUUAUCCGGAUUUAUUGGGUUUAAAGGGUGCGUAGGCGGCCUGUUAAGUCAGCGGUGAAAUCUAGGAGCUUAACUCCUAAAUUGCCAUUGAUACUGGCGGGCUUGAGUGUAGAUGAGGUAGGCGGAAUGCGUGGUGUAGCGGUGGAAUGCAUAGAUAUCACGCAGAACUCCGAUUGCGAAGGCAGCUUACUAAGGUACAACUGACGCUGAAGCACGAAAGCGUGGGUAUCAAACAGGAUUAGAUACCCUGGUAGUCCACGCAGUAAACGAUGAUAACUGGGCGUAUGCGAUAUACAGUAUGCUCCUAAGCGAAAGCGUUAAGUUAUCCACCUGGGGAGUACGCCGGCAACGGUGAAACUCAAAGGAAUUGACGGGGGCCCGCACAAGCGGAGGAACAUGUGGUUUAAUUCGAUGAUACGCGAGGAACCUUACCCGGGAUUGAAAUGUAGAUGACCGCUCCUGAAAGGGAGUUUUCCUUCGGGACAUCUAUGUAGGUGCUGCAUGGUUGUCGUCAGCUCGUGCCGUGAGGUGUCGGCUUAAGUGCCAUAACGAGCGCAACCCCUGUCUACGGUUGCCAUCAGGUAAUGCUGGGAACUCCGUAGAGACUGCCGUCGUAAG
rnacentral:rRNA from 1 species